ensembl:snoRNA
UCAUGAAAAUGAAUUGAUGGCAAGUCUGUCCCCCUUGAAUAACUCAGGGUUAUUUCACAGAGUCCCAUGUCAGAAUAAACCAUGGCCCCAAACCAUUGCCUGGUUUCUGCCCAUAGGUUGCUGGCACCGAAGUGGGUUAUACAAUG